UACGUAGGGUGCGAGCGUUAAUCGGAAUUACUGGGCGUAAAGCGUGCACAGGCGGUAAGUUAAGUCUGAUGUGAAAGCCCCGGGCUCAACCUGGGAAUGGCAUUGGAAACUGGCUUGCUAGAGUGUGGCAGAGGGGGGUGGAAUUCCGCGUGUAGCAGUGAAAUGCGUAGAGAUGCGGAGGAACACCGAUGGCGAAGGCAGCCCCCUGGGCCGACACUGACGCUCAGGCACGAAAGCGUGGGGGAGCGAACAGG
rnacentral:rRNA from 1 species